AAAAAGACACACGCACAGAAAUUAGAUAAAAUAAACAGAGAGAGGGAGAGAGAGAAAGGACCCCUCCAAAGAUUUUGCCAAUUGCCACAAAGCCCAAACCACACCCAAAGGCCAAAGGUAUUGUUGAUUUGCAGAGAGAAUCCAAAGGACGAAAGAGAGACUGAAACUGCAUAGCCAGAGAUAUACGGAAAAACAAAAGAGAUACACUAUUAAUCUUCUUAAUUAUUUCCAAUCAACUCCUCUUUCUUCUUAUCCAAUCCGCGUAAGUCCUCUUCGUAUUACUUACUACUCACUUUGCUUUUCUUUGUUUUCUUCUUCUUUCUCCGUUCAUACAAAUAAUUGCUCAAUUUUUUUUUUCUUUUAUUAAUAACACAAACCUGGACAGAUCUAAUCUAAUCUAGUUUGGGGUUUUGGUUUUCAAAUUAGAGUGUUAGAGUUCUGGCUUUGAUCAUUUGUUGUUGUGCCUUAGCUGGAUGAAAUUUGGAGAUCUGGGUUGGCCAAUUUUCUGAGCGGUGAUUCAUUUUUUUUUUCUCCCUCGGGUUUUGGGAUUGUGGGCUGUUUUUGUUAUUGAAGUUUUGAUUGUUCGUGGUGUUUUUGGGGGUAUCGGUUGUUCUCAUUUUUGACGAAUUUGGUGGUUCAAGAGGGGAUUUUGAAUUCGGAAACUUACAAGUUGUUGAAAUAAUUGGUGUUUCUUUCUCUUAAUCUGGAUCGUUGUUCCUUGGAUUCAGAUUGGUGAGCUUUGAUAUAAUAGUAAAAAAGGUUGGAUUUUCAUUUAAUUCUCCUCGUUUUUGUUUCUGAGUUUUCCCUAUUUCAUGAAACCAUUUACGAAUUAGGGGUUUUAGAUUUUCAAUCUCUUAAAAAAAAAAAAAAAUUCCCACUUUCCCCCCCUAUUUGAAUAGGUUCGAUUCUGUAUUUUGACCGGAUUUUGAGGGACUCGGGUGCUUCAGUUAUUGAUUUUUGGCUGCCGAUUUCAUUGUGGUAAGGAAGAAAGAAGGCUUUGGAUUGGACUGGCUUCGUGAAUUUGAAGCUGUUCCAGUGCUGAAUUACAGAGACAUGUUGGAGGGUCGGUCCUGUCUGUUUUCAAGGGCAUUACCGAGCUCCUGCGAACAAGAAAGCAACUGGUCUUACAUGACUUACCGGGUCGAGAAAAAAGAGAAACGCCCAUUAGAAAUUGAUGCAGAAGAAGAACUCCAAGUUGAAGAUGCAAAUGGAAAGUGCCCACCAGAUAUUGAUGCCCAAGAAAAACAAGUCAUCCCAGCCAUAAAAAGGAGACGCCCAUUAGAAUUUGAUAGCGAAGAAGAGUUCCGAAUCAACCUGGCAAUUGGAAAGUGCCCACUGGAAAUUGAUUUAGAAGACCAACACCACCCUGAUGUUGCAGGUGGGAAGCGGCCACUAGAAAUUGAUGAAGAAGAACCCCAAUUAAGUUCGUUCUUUAAGCUGACCGAAGCUCAUGAAAGUGUCGAACCAACUCCGACCAUAAGUGAUCUCACAUUAUCCCCUGAAGAUCAAUCCCAUAAACAGGGUCCCCCAGAGGAUGAGUCAGAUAAGCCCGGAAUCAACCUCUCUCUGUCAUUGGCAGACCAAUCCAAUAGCCAGCAUCAAGCUGAAUUUAAUUCAGAUUUGGAUUCCCUUAUCCAACCCAUUGGCAGAGACUUGUCAAUUAGUUGUCUCAUCCGAUGCUCAAGGUCGGAUUAUGGUUUUAUUGCUUCUCUAAAUCGAAGCUUUCGUUCGAUAAUUCGGAGUGGUGAGCUCUACAGAGAAAGGCGGAAGAACGGGGUGAUUGAACACUGGAUUUAUUUUUCUUGUCAACUUCUUGAAUGGGAAGCUUUUGAUCCAAUUCGCCAUCGUUGGAUGCGAUUGCCAACAAUGACCUUCAAUGAAUGCUUCAUGUGUUCAGAUAAGGAGUCUUUGGCUGUGGGCACUGAACUUCUUGUAUUUGGGAAGGAGGUGAUGUCCCACGUUAUCUAUAGGUACAGCAUUUUAACAAACUCAUGGUCUUCUGGAAUGAGUAUGAACGCGCCAAGAUGCUUGUUUGGGUCUGCCAGCCUGGGGGAGAUUGCAAUUUUAGCUGGUGGCUGUGAUUCACAGGGAAACAUCUUGAGCUCUGCAGAACUUUAUAACUCCGAGACAGGAGCUUGGGAGAUGCUACCAAGCAUGAAUAAACCGAGGAAGAUGUGUUCUGGGGUAUUUAUGGAUGGCAAGUUUUAUGUCAUUGGGGGAAUUGGAGGAAGUGACUCAAAGCCCCUUCCAUGCGGAGAGGAGUAUAAUUUGCAGACAAGAGUUUGGACUGAAAUUGCUGACAUGUCCCCUGUACGAAGUGGUGCACCCAGGGAGAAUGAGACUGCUGCAGCUGAGGCUCCUCCUCUAGUAGCAGUAGUAAACAAUGAAUUAUAUGCAGCUGAUUACGCAGACAUGGAGGUGAGGAAAUAUGAAAAGGAGAGUAGACUGUGGCUUACAGUGGGGAGGUUGCCUGAACGGGCGGUUUCAAUGAAUGGUUGGGGUCUUGCAUUUAGAGCAUGUGGAGAUAAACUUGUUGUCAUUGGCGGACCCAGAGCUUUGGGCGAAGGGUUUAUAGAGCUCAAUUCAUGGGUCCCAAGUGAAGGGCCUCCACAGUGGAACGUGCUUGCUGUGAAGCAAUCGGGUAACUUUGUCUAUAAUUGUGCUGUGAUGGGAUGCUGAAGAGGUGGAUUUUGAUGGUACCAUGUGUACUAUAACAUGCCUCCCUUUGAAUGGGUCGCACAAGAUUGGUUUGUCCAUCUGCACCUGAUUCUUGCUAAUGGGCCUAUACAAGUUAAAUACUUGGUGCACAUGUUAAAAAAAUGACUCAACAUACUUCAACAAAUCAAAAGGAUAGAGGUUCAAAGAAAAAAUUGUUGUAAGGGCAGAGUAAUGUGAGUAUUGUAUAUGCUAUUUGUGCAUACCUUCUUGUUCCAAUUUAUGCUAAUUGAAUUAAUCUAUCUUCUAAAUUUAUCAUAUGUAAUGUAAUUGUCUACAAAAUAAGAAUAGAGCAGUGGGAUGGGAAAGGAGCCUAUUUGUAUGGGCUUCCUAUUGCUUAUCAAGAAAGGAGCAGACUGAUAACUUUAAAUUUGCGGCCUUGUAUCUGUAUUUGCAUUUCUGAUAUAAAUAUAUGGUUAGAUGUGUGGUAAACUACAUUUAAGAUAUUAUUUGUUGUUGAUCAUCUGAUAGUAUCAGUUAUAGGCCAUGGAACCAAGUUGAUUCCUUGAAAAAUUAUUGGAGAAAUGUUUUGAAGUGCUGAGUCCCAUGCUUGUGAUGAAAGAUUAAAUUGAGUACUUUGGAAAAUUAAAAAGGAAACACAAUUUAGGAGAAUUACACAAGAACCUUGAGUAUUGCAGUAUUUUAUGUUCCUAUCAUGGUUACUUCUAGCCUGGUUCAUAUAUAUAAAUAACUUGCUGCUUGAAGCUUUGUUGAGCUAUGCUUUUUCUUGCCCAGACAAUUAAAGGAAAUGUUCCUUCUAGAUAUCUCGACUAUAUGCAAAUCUACGGUUAUUUAUUUUUGUCAUUAAUGGUUUGUAUGUUUUUUAUUUUUAUUUAUUUAUUUUUAUUAUUGUAGGUUUUUCUAUUUCAUGAUUAGUUAUUAAGUUAAAUAAAAUGAUGGUUAUAGCUAUUCCCUCUUUAUAUUAUAUAAUGUUUAUUGCUGUAUAAGCCAAGGAACUAAGUCGGUUCCUUGAAAUUUUUUUAGAGAAAUGGAUAAGGGGUUGAGUCCUACAUUUAUGAUGAAAGAUUAAAUUGAGGACUAAUGCAAAUUAAAAAGGAAGUGCAAUCUUUGUUGUCAAGGGUUUGUAUAUUGUUUCAAUCAUUUGUAGUGCUUUUUGGAAAAACACUUGAUGGGUGAUUCUCCUAAAAACACUUCCAGAUAAAACACUUCAAGUAGAAAUAUUGCCAAACGCACUUUAAGUCUUUUCCUUGAAAUUUUUUUAGAGAAAUGGAUAAGGGGUUGAGUCCUAUAUUUCUGAUGAAAGAUUACUUUGAGGACUAAUGAAAAUUAAAAUGGAAGUGCAAUUCUUGUUGUUAAGGGUUUGUAUGUUGUUUCUUAUUUUUUCAUUUUCUUUUAUCAUAGUAGGCUUUUUUAAUCCAUGAUUAGUUUUAAGUUAAAUUAACUGACAGUUGUUGUUAUUCCCUUUUCAUGUUAUAUAAUGUUUGGUUCUGUACAAUGUUACGCUAUAUAUAACCUGUUUUUGUUGGCAAUAAAAUCCAUAAGGAGUUCAUCCCUUGUGGAUUAGGCUGAAGGAAAAAGCCUCAAAGCACGACUUCGAUUUUCAUGUACUUUGAAGCUUACAUCCUAAAUGUGUAACAUGCACUGCCAUAGGUUUGCCUUUGUUUUUUGCAUUACAUAUAUUCAUGUGCUUUCUAUCAAUGAAAAAUGCUAAAAAACAUGCAUACUAAAUUGCUUUUGAAUUUCCAUUUUUUAUGUUUAAAGAUUUGUUUGUAAAAGGAGGGAACAUAGGUGCAUAGUUACUGUUUGAAUGAGUUUCCAUUUUGCCUUGAAGAUUUUGUUACAUCCUAAAUGUGUAACAUGCACUGCCAUAGGCUUGCCUUUGCUUUUUGUACUACAAAUAUUCAUUUGCUUUCUAUCAAUGAAAAUUCUAAAAAACAUGCAUACUAAAUUGCUUUUGAAUUUCCAUUUUUUAUGUUUAAAGAUUUGUUUGUAAAAGGAGGGAACAUAGGUGCAUAGUUACUGUUUGAAUGAGUUUCCAUUUUGCCUUGAAGAUUUUGUUACAUCCUAAAUGUGUAACAUGCACUGCCAUAGGCUUGCCUUUGCUUUUUGUACUACAAAUAUUCAUUUGCUUUCUAUCAAUGAAAAUUCUAAAAAACAUGUAUACUAAAUUGCUUUUGAAUUUCCAUUUUAUGUUUAAAGAUUUGUUUGUAAAUGGAGGGAACAUAGGUGCAUAGUUACUGUUUGAACGAGUUUCCAUUUUGCCUUGAAGAUUUUGUUUCUAGAUGAUGCAAGGAACUUAGGCCUGUUUUCCCCACUUUUAUGUUAGUUGUGUUUGUAUGUUUGAUUGGUAAACAUCUAUAGUGUAAACAAUUUGGGACAUUCUUUAUUUCCUAAAACGCUCUUUUAAGCAUUUCUCUUUGAUAGACAUUACUUGGAAUUUUUUACUAGAAAAUAUAUUUCUUUAAAGCCCCAUUUAUUUUGAUGUUUCUUUUAUUGUGAUGCUUGGAUAAAAUUUAUCAGUGUGUUUACUAUUUAAAAUAGGAGAUAUUUUUCUGAUGAAAUUUUAGCCAUUUUGCAUUGAUAUUAUAAAAUGUUAUCUAACAUUAUUCUCUUCAAGGAAAAAGGCUGUUAUUUUGUAGAUAUGCAGAAUAACAAAUAUUGUUUAUUUUCCAUAUAAAAGGGACUAUAAAAUAAAUUAGAAGUGACUUUUUUUUACAGAGGCUUUUUAUGGCCUUAGUGCCAGUCCAUUUAUUUAAGUUUUCUGCGUUAACUUAAUUUACUAUGUGCUCUAGGGCCAGGUGUUUUACAGAACUUAAGUUUGAAAAUGCUUUAGGAAACCAGAUGAUGUAAUGUUUCACAAGCAAAAAUAUCCAAGCUGUAGAUACCAAUGUUCUUUCUUUCUGUCCUUUUUUUUCCCCAAAAACUACUACAACUUGUCUACCGUGGUUAACAUCGGGUUGUUGAUUUCCUUGGCUGAUUGCUGUUUUAACAUAGCCUCUACAAACCUUUAAUUUGAGCUGCGUGCCUCUUUAAAAAUGUAGAACUAUCAGGUGAGAUAGAGCUUUCUUUCCAUUAUAUAGUUAAAAUAGUGAAGGAAGUAGUGUUAGCCAUUACUCAAUAGUUUUGUAAGGAACUGCACCCUAGCCUGUACCACCAUUUGAGUGCAAUGAGAAACCAGAAGACAAACACUGAGGUUUAUAAUUUUCUAGUAGCAGAGUUCAGAUUUGAGGUGCUUUUAUCUACUCUUUGAUUUGACAUUUUCCUAUGGAUUUGGUAAUCAAAUGGGGUUUCUGAGUAGCUUCCAAAUAUUCUCAGGUUUUGAGCGGCUUGCCUGAAGAAGAGCUCAGUAGGACAAGGAGUUUCAUUUCAUUCUUCCUUAGAAUAUACCCAUUUUAUCAUGUCUUCUAUAUAUUUUGUCUGUUCUUUUUCUUAUGCACCUAUUGUUAGUGCUCUCUCUCUCUCUAUCUCUCUCUUGAGUUCUGAGCAGGUUCAGCUGUGACAUAUUCUUCUAGGGUGAACUGGCUUUGAUUUAUCCAUUAGGUAGAUCCUUCCUGAUUGAAAA